rnacentral:rRNA from 1 species
AGCGAACGCUGGCGGCAGGCCUAACACAUGCAAGUCGAACGAACUCUUCGGAGUUAGUGGCGGACGGGUGAGUAACACGUGGGAACGUGCCUUUAGGUUCGGAAUAACUCAGGGAAACUUGUGCUAAUACCGAAUGUGCCCUUCGGGGGAAAGAUUUAUCGCCUUUAGAACGGCCCGCGUCUGAUUAGCUAGUUGGUGAGGUAAAGGCUCACCAAGGCGACGAUCAGUAGCUGGUCUGAGAGGAUGAUCAGCCACAUUGGGACUGAGACACGGCCCAAACUCCUACGGGAGGCAGCAGUGGGGAAUCUUGCGCAAUGGGCGAAAGCCUGACGCAGCCAUGCCGCGUGAAUGAUGAAGGUCUUAGGAUUGUAAAAUUCUUUAACCGGGGACGAUAAUGACGGUACCCGGAGAAGAAGCCCCGGCUAACUUCGUG